CGGAUUUUUCUGUUUGCGUUUAAAAUACCCAACAGUAUUCAAGCAUAGAUGAGAUAUUCAGGAAAUACAUAACUUUCCCAUUUGUAAUGUGUUUUUUCUCUGGCAGUGGUUUCAUCAGUGAUGUUGGCAGCAUGUCUGAUUCGCUUGCAUGCGUACUCAGUAGUUAUCUUCUCCUUCUCCUUACUCAUGUUGAUCAAUGUCCAUGGGUUGAUCUGGAUGCCAUCCUUCCAUCCUGAUGCAUCAAAUUGGUCGUUCUCGAUCCUGAUCGAUAGCUUUGGAGCACUCUAUGCCAUGUUUGAAGUGAGCUUUGUUAUUAUUAAACGGUUUACUGACUCGUAUGAGUAAACAUCAGCAGCAGUAGUACUGCUGCAAUCAAUAGCUGCUUACUUUGGGUUUUUGAGAAUAGGGGAAAAAAACUACUUACUUCAUUCACUUCAUCUUUUCUGCAAAAGACCCUUGAAAAGAAAGGUGGCUUAUCUGGUGAGUCAAAGUCGAUGCUCUCGUCAGAGUGGGAGUCUUCAAAUGGGUCAAUGCUGCUCCUGCUUCUCUGAUCGCAAGAAUGGUCGUAGGUCCUCAUGUCCUGUAGUGACUGACAAGUAAUUCAACCUAUAAUGAUCCAAAUACUGUCUUCUAUUGAACAAUACUUUGACUGAAUCUUUCAUAUUGGUAAAUAAAUGAAACAGUAGAACAUUUGAUGUAUCUCCCUUACUUGUUAAUUUAGAUGCAUACAACUGAUCCAUCCAAGAACAGUGCCAUGGAACAUUCUUUAAACAAAUAAAUUCGUUAGCACAAUUCGAAAUACCCCUUGCAUCACCAUAUCCACUCACAAAGAAACUCAACAAAGUAAAGCCUUGGAGCUAAAGCCGCUUCCAUCAAAACAACAUUUCAUUUUUAUACUAACAAAAGUGAAAUCCAAUGGCCUGAAUGCAUAGCACAGUAACUUCCAUUAGACUAUUGAUGUAAAGACAGCCAUGAUGUAAGAAAAUGAGAAAAACCCGUGGAUUAACUUGCUGGCAGCAGCGAGAAGACAUUCACUUAGUUCAGACAAGUGCAUUUUUGUUUGUGUGAUCAACAGACUAUACAUUUAGGCUAGAUAUCCAGUUCAUACUACAGAGUGAAAGAACAAAAAAAUUUAGUAUAAUUGCUAUCAACAAAUUUUCACGAAAAUACCAUAAACAUUUCUAGGUAGGAAUCAUUCAUCAGUUCUCACCGGGCAGUGAGCAAUUCAAUUGUAGCCUUCACAUCUUGCACCACGCUUUCACUAAUUUCUCACACUACAUAACUCUCUUUUCUUCAAAAGAAAACUGCAGAAAAUUUUUCGAGAACAAUUGUUGACAUAAAGUCAGAAGUUAUAUACCUCAAAAUUUUAAGUCACUAAGACGGCUGAAGCUCAAUUCUCAUUUCCUGGCUUAACAUCAACACCAUUAUGGUCAAGGAAGCACAAGCAUUUGAUUUUUCAUCCACAAUGUGUCUUCUCUGAUGGUAAGAUUGACAUGAUUGCAUUGGGAUCUCGUGGCUCCAAAGCAAGAGGGGCUAGGGUUAAGUGUUAAUCACAGCCAUGGCAGGAAGCUAAUAUUAGGGUUUGAGGAUCUACACAUCAGCAUGCAGUAUACCACAGUGGAGGAGGCCUGAGAUGGUCGGACUAAUGCCUGCACGCUGGGAUUCAACCGUCAACUGCCUGCACGCCAUGAACCAGCCACCACUGCGGCCUGCACGCCACGAACUAGCCGCCGCCGCCCACGCGCCCGAAACCAGACACCGCCGACGCCCGUGCACCUGAAUCCCGCGAUGGGGCCGUCCAUGGCGAGGCUCGGCCACCCGCGCCCCCAGCAAUGGAGCACCGGGGGAGGAGCAUUGGGGAAGAUGGG
rnacentral:lncRNA from 1 species